rnacentral:lncRNA from 1 species
CUGGCGAGGCGCGGUAGCCGCUGGGGCUGCAGGUCGGGAGGACCCCGGAGCCCGGGCCCCGCGGCCUCCGAGCACACGCGGGCGGCGGCUGCGCCCCGACGCGCAGCCCCCGUGCCUCCCCGGGCCCCGCACCCCGGCCGGGCCACGCGGGCGGAGGGGGCGCGGGGUCUCCGCUCUAGCCGUGCGGCCGCCCCCCUUUGUUUUGCCGCCUGCGCGGCUGGGACCUGCGCUCGAGGACCAGGGCCGUGGGGCCCGAAACGCAGCGUGGGGUGGGACACUUUUUUUUUUUUAACUUUUAUUUUUUGAGAUGGAGUCUUGCUCUAUCGCCCAGGCUGGGUGCCGUGGCGCGAUCUCGGCUCACUCCGUCUCCCGGGUUCAUGCCAUUCUCCUGCCUCAGCCUCCCGAGUACCUGGGACUACAGGCGCCAGCCACCACGCCCGGCUAAUUUAUUUAUUUUAUUUUAUUUUAUUUUUAGUAGAGACGGGCCAGGAUGGUCUCGAUCUCCUGAUCUCGUGAUCCGCAGGUGGGACUCUUUAAGAAAAAGAACGCAAGCCGGGCACGGUGGUUCACGCCUGUAGUCCCAGAACUUUGGGAGGCCGAGGCGGGCGUAUCACCUGAGGUCGGGAGUUCGAGACCAGCCUGACCAACAUGGAGAAACCCCGUCUCUACUAAAAAUACAAAAUUAGCCGGACGUGGUGGCGGGCACCUGUAAUCUCAGCUACUCGGGGAGGCUGAGGCAGAAGAAUCAGUUGAACCCGGGAGGCGGAGGUUGCGGUGAGCCGAGAUCGCGCUAUUGCACUCCAGCCUGGGCAACAAGAAUGAAACUGCGUUUCAAAAAAAAAGAAAAAGAAUGGAAAACUGUGAAAACAUCGGUUGCAAAAAUGAAUGGUUUUGCAUGAUGUUUAUUUUCUGUAAUGUAUAAAGUGUAUAUGUUAUAUGACAAUAAUUCUGUAAUACCCUAUUUUCCAGCCGUUUUGUAUAAUGAGAAAGGUCAUUAUACAUUAUCAUUGAACAACUUUUUUAGGAUUUUUAUUUUUAUAGACAGGGUCUCACUCUGUGGCCCACGCUGGAGCACAACAUUGAGAUCUCAGCUCACUGCAGCCUCGACGUCCUGCGCUCAAGCGAUGGGACUAUAGGCGCGGCCCCCACGCCUGGCUAAUUUUUGUAUUUUGUGGGGUAGAGAUGGGGUCUCCGUGCCGCCCUGGCUCGUCGGUCUGGAACUCCUGAGCUCGCGUGAUCCUCCCGCCUCGGCCUCCCAAAGCCUGGGAUUACAGGCUUGAGCCACCGCAGGCCCUAAUCAUAGUAUUGACUUCCGGGCUUUGAAUAGAUGCUCCACAAACAAGGAACCUGAUAAAUGCAGUCUCCAUCCAAAAAGAAAACAUACAUAAAUGCUGUAUUAAAUUGGAAAUGCUGCAUUAGCAAAUGCACUCCGCGGAGGAGACAACUGUAAUUCUAACCAGGCAGUGGGAAGUUGAGUCUUCUGCUUACCGUUUUUCACACCGGAUGAUUGGAAGAACCUUGGGGACACACUGAUGGCUCCGUCCAUACAAACCUUGCUUCUCUGUUUCCCGCCGACUUCCAGCACCAAGCUCCGUUCGGCUAAGGACUCAACAGCCUCAGCCGGCCAGCAAGGAUGUGCUUCCACUGAAUGAAAAUAAUCUCUUGUGGCCGGGCGCAGUGGCUCACUUCUGUAAUCCCAGCACUUUGGAAGGCCGAGGCGGAUGGAUCACGAGGUUGAGAGAUCGAGAUCAUCCUGGCCAACACGGUGAAACCCUGUCUCUAUUAAAAAUACAAAAAUCAGCUGGGCAUGGUGGUGCGUGCCUGUAGUCCCAGCUACUCAGGAGGCUGAGGCAGGAGAAUUGCUUGAACCGGGAGGCGGAGGUUGCAGUGAGUCGACGACACCGCACCAUUGCACUCCAGCCUAGGGACAGAGCAAGACUCUGCUGUCUCAGAAAAACAAAAAAAAGAAAGAAAGAAAAAGAAAAUAUCCCAUAAACUCUGACUGGAUGUAUCUCCACUCAAGUCCCCCUUUGUUGUGUGCCAAAAAUGCUUAUCGUCACUCCAGUGCCACCAGCCCCCAGGAAGAUUGUGAUGAAGGUGGAGUUGGCCUGGAAAGAGGCAGCCUUGUUAACACUGCAGUUCAGGCCUCCUAACAUGACAAACUUAACCAACACCUGAUCUCAUGAACGCAUUGGGAGGCCCUUUUCAGAGCCUGGGAGACCCAUGCAAGUGGGGCUCAGCUAGCUCCGUAGUGAGCCUGGGCUGAGAGAGAGGGGACAGCUACAUCUAGCUGUCCUCUGCAGGUGUCCACCAAGACAGCCGUUGUCCCAUCUGGCCCUCCAUCGGGAGUCCAGGCCUGAUGCCACAAGUCACUUGUGCCCUGUCCUUGGCACUCCCUGCACCAAGGCAUGAUGGAUACAGGUGUCUGUGUGAGGCUGUCCUCACUGCCCACUCCGUCCCACUCCAUCCCACUCCGUCCGUCCCACUCCGGGGUCGUUUGUUUGCACUCCCUCCUAUUCCUGGAUUCUUCCGACUUCGGGCCCAGAGGAAAGCAGCUGAUACAAAGAAGCAGCUUUGGGGGGUCUGGUGAGCCUCUCGUAUCUCACUGGAGAUGUUGCACCAGUCUGUCUACCAGUUAUCCAUUUAGCUUCAUGCAUGGAGAAAAGACAAUUCCAAAGACUUCUGGAGAAAAAAAGUCUCUUCAUUUCCAUCUGCAGAUCUUAGUGUCUCUCUGGCAUAAUUUCCCUCCAGCCUUUCUUCGGUCCUUUUAGUACCAUCUGCUGUAGUUUCAUCUUUCAUUUAACUGAAAAUGUCUCUAUUUUGCCCUUGUGUUUGAAGGAUACACUAUUGUAUAAACGUCAUCCCAUUGUCUUCCAACUUCCAUCCUUGCCAGUGAGAAUCAGUGAUCAGUCAUUUGUGUCCUGGUUCCCCAGCAGGUUAUGUGACAAUGUGGCAUGUCCUCUGGCUCUUUCAAGACUAUCCCUGUCUUCAGUUUUCUUUUUCUUUUCUUUUUCUUUUUUUUUUCUUUUUUUUUUUUUUUUGAGACAGGGCCUCACUCUGUUGCCCAGGCUGGAGUGCAGUGGCACAAUCAUGGCUCACUGCAGCCUCAACCUCCUGGGCUCAAGUGAUCCUCCCACCUCAGCCUCCCAAAAUACUGGAAUUACAGGCAUGUUCCAACACCCCCAGCCUGAUCUUCAGUUUUCUUAGCAUGUGCCUAAGCAUAUUUUCCUUUGUAUUUACCUUGCUUGGGUUCACUGAGCUGCUUUUUUAUUUUAUUUUUUUUUGAGAUGGAAUCUUGCUGUGUCACCCAGGCUGGAGUGCAGUGGCACGAUCUUGGCUUGCUACAACCUCCACCUCCUGGGUUCAUGCCCAGCUAAUUUUCUUUUCUUUUUUUUUUUUGAGAUGGAGUUUCGCUCUUGUCAUCCAGACUGGAGUGCAGUGACAUGAUCUAGGCUCACUGCAACCUCUGCCUCCCAGGUUCAAGUGAUUUUCCUGCCUCAGCCUCCUGAAUAGCUGGGAUUACAGGCACCUGCCACCACGCCUGACUAAUUUUUUGUGUUUUUAGUAGAGACGGGUUUCAUCAUGUUGGCCAGGCUGGUCUCAAACUUUUGACCUCAGGUGAUCCGCCCGCCUCGGCCUCCCAAAGUGUUGGGACUACAGGCGUGAGCCACCACAUCUGGCCCACUGAGCUUCUUAGGACUAUAUAGUACCACACAUUCACCAUGUCGGAAACAUUUUCCUACUAUUUAUUUAUUUAGAGACAAGGUCUCACUGUGGCAUCCAGGCUGGAAUGCAGUGGCGUGAUCACAGCUCACAGCAGGCCCAACCUCCCAGGCUUAAGCGAUCCUCCCACCUCAGCCUCCCACAAUGCAGCACUUUGGGAGGCCGAGGUGGGAAAUCGCUUAAGGCCAGGAGUUCGAGACCAGCCUGGGCAACAUGGUAAAACCCUGUCUCUACAAAAACAUACAAACAAUUAGCUGGGUGUGGUGAUGUGUGCCUGUGGUCCCAGCUACUCAGGAAGCUGCAGUAGGAGGAUCACUUGAACCUGGAAGGUCAAGCCUAUGGUGAACCAUGAUCAUGCCAUCGCACUCCAGCCUGGACAACAGUAAGACCCUGUCUCAGUAAAUAAAUAAAUAAUAAAAGUCUCACAGGACAGCUUGGAUUUUUAAAAAAUCAGUGGUCACCCCCUGUCCCUCUGCCCACCAUGUUCCCAAUCCCCAGAGGUUACUGCUUCCAAGUUUCACAGCUGCUUUGUACUUUUGGGUGUUCACUUCCACAUGUUUAAGUGACAUGCUUACUCCGCUCUCACUAUGUCUUCUUUUUUCUGUUUUUGAGACGGGGUCUCACACUGUCGCCUGGGAUGGAAUGCGGUGGCGCGAUCUUGUCUCACUGCAACCUCCGCCUCCCAGGUUCAAGCAAUUCUCCUGCCUCAGCCUCCCAAGUAGCCAGGACUACAGGCACAUGCCACCAAGCCCAGCUAAUUUUUGUAUUGUUAGUAGAGACGGGGUUUCACCAUAUUGCCCAGGAUGGUCUUGAACUCUUGACCUCAUGAUCUGCCUGAUUAGGCCUCCCAAAGUUCUGGGAUUACAGGUGUGCCCAGCCAAUAUCUCAGUUUUCAUAAGUAAUCUAGGUAAUCUGUUAAAAAUAAGUAUAUUAGUACACACAAUGCCAAUGUGCCCUAAAUACGUAAAUAAAUAAAUAAAUACAUUACGUAAAUGUAAAUCUGAUAAAUUCGUUAUUUUUUUGCGACAGAGUCUCACUCCAUCUGUUGCCCAAGCUUGAGUGCAUUGGCACAAUGUCAGCUCACUACAACCUCCACCUCCUGGGUUCAAGCGAUUCUCCUGCCUCAGCCUCCCGAGUAGCUGGGACUACAGGUGCACGCCACCACACCUGGCUAAAUUUUGUAUUUUUAGUAGAGAUGGUGUUUCACCAUGUCGGCCAGGCUGGUCUCGAACUCCUGACCUCAGGUAAUCCACCACCUCAGCCUCCCAAAGUGCUGUGAUUACAGGUGUGAGCCACCAAGCCCAGCCAAUUAAUUCUUAUAAAUGAACUUUUCAUGUACUUUAAAUUUUAAAGUUGUGUUAUGUUAAAUAACAGAUGUUCUUUAAGUGUGUGGAUCAUUUCCAUAUAACAUGUGCUUCUGAUGAGGAAAAAUAUAAAAAAGGCAUAAAAUGUGAUCUUUAUUUUUUUAAAGAAUAAUUUUGUCUAAUUUGGAG